UACGUAGGGUGCGAGCGUUUGUCCGGAAUUACUGGGCGUAAAGAGCUCGUAGGUGGUUUGUCGCGUUGUUCCGUGAAAACGUGCAACUCAUGUGCGUGCGGGCGAUACGGGCAGACUGAGUACUGCAGGGGAGACUGGAAUUCCUGGUGUAGCGGUGGAAUGCGCAGAUAUCAGGAGGAACACCGGUGGCGAAGGCGGGUCUCUGGGCAGUAACUGACGCUGAGGAGCGAAA
rnacentral:rRNA from 1 species